rnacentral:lncRNA from 1 species
GUCCAGUCCCUGGAAGAUGAAGUUAGUUAGCAUUUGGUGCCCAGCCAGCAGCAAUGUGACUUAGGCUUUUCGUCCUAGUAGGAAUUUGACUCAUUGGGCCUGCAAAAGAUUUUCGUGACAAAUGAAAUAUUUUUCUAAACCAAGGACUUGGGGAUAACUUCAGGGUCAAAGACAUCUUAUCAUAUUUAAGAACAGCCACAGGAUGUCUAGGAGCCAGCAGAGGGGCCAGAUAUGCUGCAGUUUAUGCUGUAAAAGGAAGCCUGCCGCCGUGAGUGGUCCAGUGGGAGCUCUUGCUUUGUGUCCUCAGCCUUUCACCUUUCCAUCUGAUGACUUGCUCUGAAUCUUCACUUCCUGGGCAGAGCUCUGAGUAUAGAUGAGGCAAACUUCACAUGGAAAAGAAGCCAUAUUUUGAAAAAACUACACGGAAUCAAAGAGAACUAACUCAAAGAAGCAAAAUUUUGGAGAUAAAACAAGCACCAUUCAGAAUCUGGACAUAUAAUAUGUUUAUGGCAUUUAACCUAGUCAGACAGUAGAUAUUGCUCUAAGUCAUGGCCUACACCUGUGAGCCUACUUAUAUCAGCAUUUGCCAAAUGUACUUGUAGCUGUGGUACUGACCUCAGAGAACUUAGCCAAAGAGCAAAGACUGCCUAAUUCAAGAAGUACUGAGAAGAUGUUCCAGGAUUACUUCAUGCUGUCCAGGUCCUAGACAUGGAAUCGUUUGCUUCUUCAAAAGUCUGGAUCCCUUUAAGAUACGAAAUGUAUUUAGAAACCAAAGUAUGGAUGCUAGGUGUGCUCAUGGCCAUUGGAGUGUGUUUCUAGACCCAGGAAUAAGCAAACAAUGGCCUGUAAACUAUAUCCUGUCUGUGGCCUGUUUUUGUACAUCCUAAGAACUAAAAAUUAUUUUAAAAAUUGUAAAUGGGAAAAAGUCAACAACAACAAACAAAUCAACAAAUAACCCCACAAAUAAACAGUUUCUUAAAGACCAGAAUGACCAAGAAAUCUAUGAAACAGAGACCGUAUACUGCCCAG